rnacentral:rRNA from 1 species
GAUGAACGCUGGCGGUAUGCUUAACACAUGCGAGUCGAACGGACUCUUCGGAGUUAGUGGCGGACGGGUGAGUAACGCGUGAGAAUCUGGCUUUGGGUUCGGGACAACCACUGGAAACGGUGGCUAAUACCGGAUGUGCCGAGAGGUAAAAGAGAAAUUGCCUGAAGAUGAGCUCGCGUCUGAUUAGCUAGUUGGUGAGGUAAAGGCUCACCAAGGCAGCGAUCAGUAGCUGGUCUGAGAGGAUGACCAGCCACACUGGGACUGAGACACGGCCCAGACUCCUACGGGAGGCAGCAGUGGGGAAUUUUCCGCAAUGGGCGAAAGCCUGACGGAGCAAUACCGCGUGAGGGAAGAAGGCUCUUGGGUUGUAAACCUCUUUUCUUAGGGAAGAACAAAAUGACGGUACCUAAGGAAUCAGCAUCGGCUAACUCCGUG